rnacentral:rRNA from 1 species
ACCUGGUUGAUCCUGCCAGUAGUCAUAUGCUUGUCUCAAAGAUUAAGCCAUGCAUGUCUAAGUAUAAGCGAUUAUACUGUGAAACUGCGUACGGCUCAUUAAACCAGUUAUAGUUUAUUUGAUAUUUCCCUACUACUCGGAUACCCGUAGUAAUUCUAGAGCUAAUACGUGCAUAGAGCCCCAUUUGGGGUGCAAUUAUUAGAUAGAAACCAAUGCGGCGCAAGCCGGUAUUGUGGUGAGUCAUGAUAAU